rnacentral:snoRNA from 1 species
AAGACUAUACUUUCAGGGAUCAUUUCUAUAGUUUGUAACUGGUGAAAUGUGCUCUAAAGUGUCCAAACUCAGUACCCACGAGGAAGAGCUAGAGUGUUUUCUCCUGAGCGUGAAGUGGGCUCCCAGUGCUGCUUUAUUGUAGCUGCUGGUUGCUUUUGAUGAUCGUUCCUUUCUCCUUAAUUGGAGAGUAGGAGGGAGAGAACACAAGCUGAGUGGUU